rnacentral:rRNA from 1 species
AUUGAACGCUGGCGGCAUGCCUUACACAUGCAAGUCGAACGGCAGCACGGGAGCAAUCCUGGUGGCGAGUGGCGAACGGGUGAGUAAUAUAUCGGAACGUGCCCAGUCGUGGGGGAUAACGCAGCGAAAGCUGUGCUAAUACCGCAUACGAUCUAUGGAUGAAAGCGGGGGAUCGCAAGACCUCGCGCGAUUGGAGCGGCCGAUAUCAGAUUAGCUAGUUGGUGAGGUAAAGGCUCACCAAGGCGACGAUCUGUAGCUGGUCUGAGAGGACGACCAGCCAGACUGGAACUGAGACACGGUCCAGACUCCUACGGGAGGCAGCAGUGGGGAAUUUUGGACAAUGGGCGAAAGCCUGAUCCAGCAAUGCCGCGUGCAGGAUGAAGGCCUUCGGGUUGUAAACUGCUUUUGUUCGGAACGAAACGGUGAGCUCUAAUACAGUUUGCUAAUGACGGUACCGUAAGAAUAAGCACCGGCUAACUACGUGCCAGCAGCCGCCGUAAAAC